CCUAUCCAUCUCUUCAAUAUCUAUCUGUUCUCUAUCUCAAUUUCUCUAUUUCUCAGUCUUUCCUCUCUUUCUGUCUUUUGUCUACUUGUCUGUUAUCUGUCUCUGUCUGUCAGUCUGUCUGUCCAGUUGCUUGCUAUAAUGCCAGGGGGGUCUACAAAAAAGAUUUGUCCAUUUUGUCAGGGCAUUUUAUUUUGUGCACAGAAAAUAUGUUGCCAUUGUCAAAAGGAGCAGCCUCUGAAGCAGCACCUCAAGAAGAAGCUUCAGAGGUUUGAUGACAAGCGAGAGGAAUGGGUGUUUGGUCGUAAGAAGAACCACACCAGUGGAUCCAUCAAGGAUGAAGCCAUAAUCAUGCUUGAGAAACUCCAUGCCAUUGGAUACAAGCCAGUUCUGCUCCUUGGAAAGGAAAACAAAAAAAAAGAAAAUAAGUGUGAAAUAUUAACUCCUCGCUGCACACUCUCCACCUGUGCCCAGGACUACCUUCAGAGGAUAGGCCCAAUAUAUGAAAAAAUUUGUGAUGGUUGGACCAAGGAUAUCGAUGAUGAUCAGCUGAUUACGCUGCACCUCACACCCUGUGACCCAUUGGAGAACACAAGCAACCGUGAGGUGGUGAGGACCACGCGGGUGGAGCAGACGAGCACUACAGAGGGGGAGAUGGAGCAGACGAGCACUACAGAGGGGGAGAUGGAGCAGACGAGCACUACAGAGGGGGAGAUGGAGCAGACGAGCACUACAGAGGGGGAAAUGGAGCAGAUGAGCACUACAGAGGGGAGGAUGGAGCAGACAAGCACUACAGAGGGGAGGAUGGAGCAGAUGAGCACUACAGAGGGGAGGAUGGAGCAGAUGAGCACUACAGAGGGGAGGAUGGAGCAGACAAGCACUACAGAGGGGAGGAUGGAGCAGACGAGCACUUCGGAGGGUCAAGCUGUCUUCACAGGGUCAGCCAGGGGCACAGUCACAAGUCCCAAAAAGAAAAAGUCAGGUGGACUAAGACAUAUGCCAGAGAGGAAAAAGCCACAAAAGAGUAAGUGCAUGUAAAUGCAAUGAUUGAUGCUUCCAUCAGUGUGUUGACAUUGCUAUUUUACCCUUGGUUACUUGCUCUAUUUCUAUUGGGUUUUUUAACUACUUACAACAGAUAAUUGGUCCUAACAGACAAACUAUAAAAUCCAACUGGCUUCAGGUGUCUAAUUUGACCAAAAUGCAUUGCCAAGUAGUAGAAGAAGCAGCAGUAGAGUAUUCUCAAUUGUGAUCUGUGGCUCAGCAGAGGUAUUGUUAUCCCAGAAAGAAUACCACAUUUGAACUGAGAAUAAUUUGGUUAUAGGGUACAAGUUGGUUCAACUUUUGAUUAAAGAUAAACAUCACUUGUCAUCCUUGUAAGUCUGGUCACUACUUAAGUCUUCUUAGUUGUUUAUUUUGUUCCUAAUCUAAGAAAUGUGUGAAACAUGUUUUUGAUGUUCACAGAUUGCUCCUAUCACGCUCGCUU